UUCGCGGCGCCGGAAGGGGAAGUUUCGUUUCAGAACGCUGCCUCGCUCGUCCGAAUUCGGUGGCGCCACGUCUGCCGGUCUCCGCCUUCUGCACCGCGGUUUCGGCGGCUUCCGCCUCGACACCUUCCACUCACUGAGCCGGCCGCGUAGUGAGGGUGCCCGCACGGACAGACCCGCGGCUGUGCGCAUCCUGGCGACUUGAGAGGCCAAGAUGUCGGACAUCGGGGACUGGUUCAGGAGCAUCCCGAUCAUCACGCGCUACUGGUUCGCUGCCACCGUCGCGGUCCCCUUGGUCGGCAAACUCGGCCUCAUCAGCCCAGCCUACUUCUUCCUCUGGCCCGAAGCUUUCCUCUAUCGCUUCCAGAUUUGGAGGCCAAUCACUGCCACCUUUUAUUUUCCUGUGGGUCCAGGAACUGGAUUUCUUUAUUUGGUCAAUUUGUAUUUCUUAUAUCAGUAUUCUACACGACUUGAAACAGGAGCAUUUGAUGGGAGGCCGGCAGACUAUUUAUUCAUGCUUCUCUUUAACUGGAUUUGCAUCGUGAUUACUGGCUUAGCAAUGGAUAUGCAAUUGCUGAUGAUUCCUCUGAUCAUGUCAGUACUUUAUGUCUGGGCCCAGCUGAACAGAGACAUGAUUGUAUCAUUUUGGUUUGGAACACGAUUUAAGGUACUUUACCUUAGUUGGAAAAACUUCCUUUUCAUUUGUCUUUGCAGAAAUCUCUUCAGCCAAGAGAUGUACUUUCUGACUCGUCCAGAAGAGGUCACUGCAGAGCAGUAUACCAUAGGCCUGUUAUUUACCCUGGGUUAUCCUUGGAUUCAACUAUAUCAUUGGAGGCUCGGUAAUCAAUGAGCUAAUUGGAAAUCUUGUUGGACAUCUUUAUUUCUUCCUGAUGUUCAGAUACCCAAUGGACUUGGGAGGAAGAAAUUUUCUAUCCACACCUCAGUUUUUGUACCGCUGGCUGCCCAGCAGGAGAGGCGGGGUGUCAGGAUUCGGUGUGCCCCCUGCUAGCAUGAGGCGAGCUGCUGAUCAAAAUGGCGGAGGUGGUAGACACAACUGGGGCCAGGGCUUUCGACUUGGAGACCAGUGAAGGAGUGGCAUCUGGCCUGCCCACCAGCCGUUCCACUCAGGCAACGUUUCUUCCCACUGCUGGGUGCGCUUAACAACACCGAGUCUAGCUAACGCUGUUGGACCUGACCCACACUGAAUGUAGUCUUUCAGUAUGAGACAAAUUUUUUUAAAUCCUGAAGGAAAAUACAAGUGUUCCUCAAGUUUCAUGAUUCUCAUUGAAGUCCUUACUGCUAUGAAGAACAAAUAUCAACUGUGCAGAUUUCAAAAUUGACUAUUUUUUUGGUGUGUUUUCUUCCUUUUCUGUCUGAAUAAUGGGCUUUAGCGGUUCCCAGUCUGCUGGCACCGAGUUGGGCACCUGGGGUGGGGUUACCAAACCCUGUGAAAAGGAUUCUUGUCUCUUUCUUGCACACACACCUCCCUUCUACUUUUCCCAAUCCCCUAAAGUUUCAGCUAGUGGGGUUGCCCAUAAAAUGGUUCUGCCUUUGGCAGACUCUUAUUUAUUGACUUUGCCAAGGCUUGGUCACAAAGAACUUGUUCACAGUUAUUUUCCCCUUUGGUGGCAGAACUGUGACAAUAGGGAGAAUACUGAAGCAGUGGAUAAAAAACUUUCUUAGCUUUGGGGAUUGUGCCAGCCUGACAGCCACAGUAACCAUUAGCCACCUCUUCAGGUGUUCUUAAUGAAACACCACGGAGUCAGGAUGGGCCCAUAUUGCUAUUAAUGAGGAUUGAGGGUUAUAACUAGGCAGUUUUCUAAUUAAGUGAUCAAAAUUUUAGUGGAGUUGCUUCUGACACAGGAGUUCAUUUUAAACUAUGGUGAACACAAUCCUUUUGUGUUUCCUCUGCAGGGCAUAUUGGCUUUGUGUACCCAGAGUCAUUGGGUUGUUAUAUAGGGAGGUUUCAAAUCACAUUGGCCACAGGGAGAUGCUCCCUUUGAGAGGCUCCUGGGCAUUGAUUCCAUUUCAUUCUUAUUCUGGAUGUAUGUUCAUUGAAGUGCCCUAUUAAAAUUGUCUUUCUUUUUUUUUUUGCCCUUUGCCCUUUCUUCAUCAAGUGUUUCAGUUAAUUGUGAGAAAAGUGCAGCUCUUCUGUAUGUAAAUCGUUUUUUAAAGCUAAUAUAUAAGCACAUCUAAGUGAAUCACUCAUAAUUUGAGGUGUAAUGGCUUUAGAGUCAUUUGCAUUUGAAGGUCUUUAUUAUUUUUUGAGUCUGGAAUAUACAGACAGUGUGAAUCAGACCAGCUUGAAUACCCACGACAACUCCUUCAUAGGUGAGCUUUUACCAUCAGAGCUCGGCUCAUCAACAAAUAAAAGUUUUUGUAGGCUGCAGUGUUUCAUAGUUUGUUUUUAUUCUGAAAGCAUACAGCUAGGAGCAUGGUGAGUGGCUGCCAUACUUUGAGUCAGCUAAAAAGAUUUUGGACAUUUUGAUCAGCUUCUUUUCAGGAAAAGUACCCUAACAGUAUGGCUCCUUCCCCCAUCCCCAUUCUUAUUAAACUGUGAUGUGUGUUAUAAUAGGAAAUAGGAGUUUGCAAAGAGCUCCUCAUUUUUAAUAAAGUUUGUGUGUACCUUUCCAUAUUUAAUUUAUAUGAUAAAAUAGUAGGUGGAGAGAGUCUGCACCUAAACUGUCAAAUGUCCUGCUGUUGACCUGUGGCCACAAUAAAAUUUACUUGUAAAGUUUUAGAAGCCAUCACUCCUAUUAUAUCGCUUGGGCACUCACUGCAGGAGUGGAAACUUGUGUGUGUACGAUUCUAAUGGUAAGUGAACCAGGGGUUCAGUGCCCCCAUAUCAACCUAUUUGCUUGAGAGCAGUAGUUUUUCUAAAGGUCUAUAAGUUUUUGGAAUUCUUCAGUUGAAGGCAAAAUGUACUUUGAAUGAAAUUUUAUCUCAAACAUAGGAAGCUGAUAAUUUGAUUGCCUUUGAUGGGAUUACCUAUCUUUCUGGGAUAAUUUUACCAAAAUAAAUUAGUUUUGACUUGGCAAGGUAAGACAUGACAGUAGAUUCUCUUUAUGAAUGGAAAACAAAAAUCCUUAUUUUGUAUAGAUGGUAUCCCUUUUUGUAUCUAAUCCUUUUUAUUGGUAUAAAUUGUAAAUUAAAAUGUACAAUUUGAA